GUAAAUGCUUUGAAGGAGAAAAGUAGGCUAGUACAUGCAAGCCAGAGAGUAGUUGGUUGGUGAAAAACUAUUUGUUGUAUUAUUUGAAGUUCACUCCGGAGCAGUCCGGCUGAAUUAAUAGUAGGUCGGAACGUUAUGUGCGUUAAACUUUUGAGGUGGUUUGUGGUAUAUACACAAACUAUUAGGGUGGUACCGCGAUUUCAGACCUUUCGUCCCUAUG
rnacentral:ncRNA from 1 species